GACGAACGCUGGCGGCGUGCUUAACACAUGCAAGUCGAGCGGAAAGGCCCUUCGGGGUACUCGAGCGGCGAACGGGUGAGUAACACGUGAGUAACCUGCCCCAGACUUUGGGAUAACCCUCGGAAACGGGGGCUAAUACCGGAUACGACACAGCUUCGCAUGGGGUCUGUGUGGAAAGUUUUUCGGUUUGGGAUGGGCUCGCGGCCUAUCAGCUUGUUGGUGGGGUGAUGGCCUACCAAGGCGACGACGGGUAGCCGGCCUGAGAGGGCGACCGGCCACACUGGGACUGAGGCACGGCCCAGCCUCCUACGGGAGGCAGCAGUGGGGAAUAUUGCACAAUGGGCGGAAGCCUGAUGCAGCGACGCCGCGUGAGGGAUGACGGCCUUCGGGUUGUAAACCUCUUUCAGCAGGGACGAAGCGUAAGUGACGGUACCUGCAGAAGAAGCGCCGGCCAACUACGUG
rnacentral:rRNA from 1 species